rnacentral:rRNA from 1 species
UACAGAGGUCUCAAGCGUUGUUCGGAUUCAUUGGGCGUAAAGGGCUCGUAGGUGGCCAACUAAGUCGAACGUGAAAUCCCUGGGCUCAACCCAGGAACUGCGUCCGAUACUGGUUGGCUUGAAUCCGGGAGAGGGAUGUGGAAUUCCAGGUGUAGCGGUGAAAUGCGUAGAUAUCUGGAGGAACACCGGUGGCGAAGGCGACAUCCUGGACCGGUAUUGACGCUGAGGCGCGAAAGCCAGGGGAGCAAAGCGGG